UCCCUGGUGGUCCAGUGGUUAGGACUCCCUGCUUUUGCCUCCAAGGGCCUAGGUUCUAUCCCUGGUCAGGGAA
rnacentral:tRNA from 1 species